rnacentral:lncRNA from 1 species
AGCAAGUCCCACCCCCACCCCGCAGCAGCCUCCGGAGAGGAGAGAUGACUGCAAAAGCAGAGGGAUAAAUUCAACAUGGUGCCUCCCCUCAGGAUGCCAUCAGGCACAGGUCGUCACGCACUGAGCUACAGGUGGUGGCACGCCCUUGAACCUCCAGAACUAUGAGCCAGAUAAACCUCUUCUUUAUAAGAAACCAAGCCUCAGAUAUAAAAGAGAUCUGACCAAUAUCAGUGAUGAUCCAAAAUGUCUGCACAAGGGUUAGGGAUGUGACUCAGUGGUAGAGCUCUUGCCUUGCAUGCACAAGGCUCUGGGGUCUAUCCCCAGCACCACACACACACACACACACACA